rnacentral:rRNA from 1 species
AGCAGCCGCGGUAAUUCCAGCUCCAAUAGCGUAUAUUAAAGUUGUUGCAGUUAAAAAGCUCGUAGUUGAAUUUCGGGAUUAGUACGUUGGUCGUGCCUUAGGUACGUACUGGUGUUACUGGUUCCUACCUUCUGACGAACCAUCAUGUCAUUAAUUUGGUGUGGCGGGGAAUCAGGACUGUUACUUUGAAAAAAUUAGAGUGUUUAAAGCAGGCUCGCGCUUGAAUACAUUAGCAUGGAAUAAUGAAAUAGGACGUUGACCCUAUUUUGUUGGUUUCUAGGAUUGACGUAAUGAUUAAUAGGGAUAGUUGGGGGCAUUAGUAUUCAAUUGUCAGAGGUGAAAUUCUUGGAUUUAUUGAAGACUAACUACUGCGAAAGCAUUUGCCAAGGAUGUUUUCAUUAAUCAAGAACGAAAGUUAGGGGAUCGAAGACGAUCAGAUACCGUCGUAGUCUUAACCAUAAACUAUGCCGACUAGGGAUCGGAUGAUGUAUUUUUAAUGACUCAUUCGGCGCCUUACGGG